UUCUGAAGAUGAUGACUAGUGCACAGGACCUAAAACAUCUUCAAUCACCUUCCCCUGCCAAGGACUGUAUGAGUUGAAACUAAGAAAGAAAGGAGAGCUCUACAAAGAGCUCAGACAGAAAAGCCAAGACUUCUUCUAGCUCCAGAGCCUUGUGCUCAACAACCACUAUGACACUCAAGUGAAGAAAGCUCCCAUUAGAGAAAAGUUUGUGAGAUGCCAGGAAGGAGCUACAGAUGUCAUGGGAUAAAGGGUGUCCUGGAACAAAUACCCCGCAGAGACCGAAGAACAACUGUACACCUAUACACCAAUCGGCUGCUAACUAAGGCUUUGCCAAGGUAUUUUCUGAGAAAGGAACUGUGAAACACUUUUGGUGAGUUUUAAGCAAGCCAGCUUUCCUCUCUCCCCCUCACCUCCAUAUCCAACAAUGGGCAAUUUCUCUCUUAGACUCGCACUACUAGUCCUACAUCAAAACUGUUCUUUACCUCCUUUUCCAGUUCCUCUAGUGGAAAAAAACUCUCUAAUCAUAUUUCCUUACUCCCACUCCAGCAAAGCACUGUUCCCAUAUCCAGGCCACCAAGAGUGUCCAAGAGAACUGUCCCCCAUCUCUUCCACUACCUGCUCUACUACUGUCCACUACUGAUCACCACUCCUUCUGUGACUCUCUUUCACAAACACAUGCACUCACAUUCCAUAGUGAAAUAGGAAAUUGAAGUAACAACUAAAUCUCCAUCAGAGAUCAAUACCAUCGAUUAAAACAUUUCACUGGACAUGAGGCACCAGGAAGACAUGAGGAUCCUCUUUCUCUUCUCCUAAAAGUAUACACACUCCCCCUCUGUCAGUCUCUGGGAUUCCAUUUUACUGGCAGCUGUAGAUUACCCACAAGCAUCAACCCCUAUGCAACGAGAGCCCACAGCUGGAAAGAAGCUAAAACAGAAAACAUGCCAACCACUGAUUGAAGAGAGAGGCUGCUUCCCACCUCUGAGUCCUGAUCUUCUAUGGAGAACCUCCCAACCCAGUUCUCAGACCAUGGACAAAGGAGAGAAGCAACUGCCAAUGGCAACCAAAGUCCACUGCUUCAAAUCCAACUUCAGUUUGAUUGGCUUAGAGGGAUGGAAGUAGAGGAGGAGCCAGGACCCAGUUACUUGUGUCUGAUGCAUUCACUUAACAAUCAUCAUGCAUUAUACUCAUAUAACUUUUCAACCUUUCUAAGGGCUGUACAGCAUCAUCUCAUCACUACUUGUUCUCACUGCAAUGCUUGAGGUAAAUGACAAUGUCCUCAGGCAGAUAAGAACUCCCUGCAGUGGUGCUGCCUCUUCCACCAGCCUCAGCACCUUGGAGAUCAAAAGACUUUCAUCAGAGAACAGAAAUGUGAUCUUCCUGAUAUAAAGCCGCAAAUUCACUCAGCCUUCAAGGAUGGGCCAUAGAAAUUCUACAAUUACACAUCUCUUACCUGAGGACAGGGGUGCCUUACAGACCAGCAAUGCCCAAGAAAACAUUCUGUGACAACAGAAGUGCACGUUUUCUCUGUCCAGUUGGGAACUGUAUCACAGCAGGUAUGAGCACUUUGAUCACUUGAAAUGUCAUUAACAUAACUGGGCAGCUGAAUUUUUAAUUUUCUUGUAUUCUUGCUAAUUUUAAUAUUAAUAGCCACAUGUAACUAGUGGCUACUGUAUGGGAGACUGCAGAUCAAUAAUGUCCCAAUCACACUUUACUGCAAUAGUAAUUCACUACCUCAAUUUGCU
rnacentral:lncRNA from 1 species